rnacentral:rRNA from 1 species
UGGUGUCUUUAGCCCAGUGGAACCACACUAAUCCAUUUCGAACUUAGUCGUGAAACAUUGGCGCGGAAAAUAUACUUUAGGGGGGGCCCUACGGGAAACUAUCUCGGUGCCAGGAC